GUCAUAUUUGGAGGAAGCUACAGAGCUGUCAGUUCAUCCGAAAAAUUGAAUAAUUGAAUGGAGUAUCUCUUCAGCAGGAUGCAGAUGACUGAAACUCUCCCUUCAAGUACAGGAAGGCUGCAAUUGGGCCACUCUUAAGCACUCACUUUUCCAGGCUGAAAAAACCCAAUUCUCAUAAUUCUGUUCACACAGAAGGUGUUCCAUCCCUCUAAUGAACUUGGUGGCCCUCCUUUGAACUCACCUCAGCAGUACAUUACCAGUGCCAAGGCACCAUGAAGACCAUUGGCUCCCUGGAGCUGGAGUUUCAGAAGUGUUGGGAUCAAGCUUAGCCCUGUCAGGGCAGGACCCAUCACCAGGGUUUAUCCCAGAACCCAUCAGCAGGACAACUGAGAGGCAAUGGAGAAGUUCCAGCUCUGGGCACUUGGCACAUCCCAGAGGACAGGUUUGAGGAGAGAGAUGGUGUUGUCAGGAGACAGAGAAAAUUUCCAUUGGUGAAAAAUUCAUACAAAUUAUUUCUCAUAGUAAGAAUGACAAAUAACAUAUAUUUUGUUUGCUGUGUUUUCUUUUCUGCCAUACACUGUGUUUUCCUGGAGGUUGCAACUCAGCCAGAGGGAGGGAGGUCAUGUACUUGCUGGCACAGCAUGUCACUGCUGGCUGUCAUAUAUUGGAUCAAUACACAGUCCUUGGUAAUGAGUGGAGCAGCAGUCCUCUCCUGAGAGAAGGAAGCAGAAUGGGAGGAUUCAAAAGUCUCCACAAAAAUGCAUAAUCCCAAGAAUGGAAGGAGAUACACUAUAAAGAGACAGUGGCGAUACACAGGUAGUUUCUAGUCGUCUCCAGUGCACUGCUUGGAAUUAUUCAUUACUUAGCAAGAUACUAAACAUUGCUGCAUUCAAAGCAAGAGUGAGGUGAAGGAAAAGACCUACCUCUGAGAUGAAAUAGGGAGCAGUGAUGACUUCUAAUACUGUUUUCAUUUUUAUUUGAUCUGACCAACUUGAUCUGAGCUUUUGUUCCAUGGAAGUUAUUCUAUUGUGUUUAUCCUUCAAUAAAAUGUAAUGUCAGCAGUCCA